AGCAGCCGCGGUAAUUCCAGCUCCAAUAGCGUAUAUUAAAGUUGUUGCAGUUAAAAAGCUCGUAGUUGAAUUUCAGGCCUGGCUGGACGGUCCGCCCUUCGGGUGAGUACUGUCUGUGGUCGGGUCCUACCUUCUGGCGAAGCGUCAUGGCCUUAACCGGCCGUGGCGGGGAACCAGGACUUUUACUGUGAAAAAUUAGAGUGUUCAAAGCAGGCAAAUCGCUUGGAUACAUUAGCAUGGAAUAAUGGAAUAGGACAAUGGUUCUAUUUGUUGGUUUCUAGGACCGUUGUAAUGAUUAAUAGGGAUAGUUGGGGGCAUUAGUAUUCAAUUGUCAGAGGUGAAAUUCUUGGAUUUAUUGAAGACUAACUACUGCGAAAGCAUUUGCCAAGGAUGUUUUCAUUAAUCAAGAACGAAAGUUAGGGGAUCGAAGACGAUCAGAUACCGUCGUAGUCUUAACCAUAAACUAUGCCGACUAGGAAUCGGGCGAUGUUGAAAAAUGACGCGCUCGGCACCUCAUGGG
rnacentral:rRNA from 1 species